GACAAACGCUGGCGGCGUGCGUAAAACAUGCAAGUCGGACGGCUCUUACGGGAGCAGUGGCAGACGGCUGAGUAACGCGUAGGAACCUACCUCGCGGUGGGGGACAACCGUCCGAAAGGAUGGCUAAUACCGCAUACGGUCCUUCGGGAAGAAAGCCUGUGGGUGCCGCGAGUGGGGCCUGCGUCCGAUUAGCUCGUUGGUGGGGUAAGGGCUCACCAAGGCGAUGAUCGGUAGCUGGUCUGAGAGGAUGAUCAGCCAGACUGGGACUGGGACACGG
rnacentral:rRNA from 1 species